rnacentral:rRNA from 1 species
CAGGCCUAACACAUGCAAGUCGAACGAGAAAGUGGAGCAAUCCAUGAGUAAAGUGGCGACCGGGUGAGUAACACGUGACUAACCUACCUUCAAGUGGGGGAUAACCUCGGGAAACCGGGGCUAAUACCGCAUAACAUCUUUGGAGUGGAAAUUCUGGAGAUCAAAGGAGCAAUUCGCUGGAAGAGGGGGUCGCGGCUGAUUAGCUAGUUGGCGGGGUAAUGGCCCACCAAGGCUUUGAUCGGUAGCCGGCCUGAGAGGGCGCACGGCCACACUGGAACUGAAACACGGUCCAGACUCCUACGGGAGGCAGCAGUGGGGAAUUUUGCGCAAUGGGGGAAACCCUGACGCAGCAACGCCGCGUGGAGGAUGAAGCCCCUUGGGGUGUAAACUCCUUUCGAUCGGGACGAUUAUGACGGUACCGGAUGAAGAAGCACCGGCUAACUCUGUGCCAGCAGCCGCGGUAAUAC